rnacentral:rRNA from 1 species
UACGCUGGCGGCACGCCUAACACAUGCAAGUCGAACGAAGUAGCAAUACUUAGUGGCAGACGGGUGAGUAACAUGUAGGUAUCUGCCCUUUGGCCUGGAAUAACACGAGGAAACUUGUGCUAAUACCGGAUAAGUCUUUACGGAGAAAGCUUUAUGCACCAUUGGAUGAGCCUGCACUUGAUUAGUUUGUUGGUGGGGUAAUGGCCUACCAAGACUGUGAUCAAUAGCUGAUUUGAGAGGAUGAUCAGCCACAUUGGGACUGAGACACGGCCCAAACUCCUACGGGAGGCAGCAGUGGGGAAUCUUGCACAAUGGAGGAAACUCUGAUGCAGCGAUGCCGCGUGAGUGAAGAAGGCCCUUGGGUUGUAAAGCUCUUUCGUCGGGGAAGAAAAUGACUGUACCCGAAUAAGAAGGUCCGG